rnacentral:rRNA from 1 species
UCGUGGAGUGAUUUGUCUGGUCUAUUCCGAUAACGAGCGAGACCCCGACGUUCCUACUAGGGGUGGCAGCCCGGCUCGUGCCCUCGGGUGCUUGCUAGCAGCCACCUUACAAUAGCUUCUUAGACGGAUCAGAGCCGAUAAGGUUCUUGAAAUGGGUUAAUAACA